rnacentral:rRNA from 1 species
AGAACUUAGCAGAGAUGCUUUGGUGGCCUUCGGGAACUCUGAGACAGGUGCUGCAUGGCUGUCGUCAGCUCGUGUUGUGAAAUGUUGGGUUAAGUCCCGCAACGAGCGCAACCCUUAUCCUUUGUUGCCAGCGGUCCGGCCGGGAACUCAAAGGAGACUGCCAGUGAUAAACUGGAGGAAGGUGGGGAUGACGUCAAGUCAUCAUGGCCCUUACGAGUAGGGCUACACACGUGCUACAAUGGCGCAUACAAAGAGAAGCGACCUCGCGAGAGCAAGCGGACCUCAUAAAGUGCGUCGUAGUCCGGAUUGGAGUCUGCAACUCGACUCCAUGAAGUCGGAAUCGCUAGUAAUCGUGGAUCAGAAUGCCACGGUGAAUACGUUCCCGGGCCUUGUACACACCGCCCGUCACACCAUGGGAGUGGGUUGCAAAAGAAGUAGGUAGCUUAACCUUCGGGAGGGCGCUUACCACUUUGUGAUUCAUGACUGGGGUGAAGUCGUAACAAGGUAAGCGUAGUGCU